rnacentral:rRNA from 1 species
GAUGAACGCUGGCGGCGUGCCUAUACAUUCAAGUCGAGCGAACGGACGAGAAGCUUGCUUCUCUGAUGUUAGCCGCGGACGGGUUAGUAACCCGUGGAUAACCUACCUAUAAGACUGGGAUAACUUCCGGAAACCGGAGCUAAUACCGGAUAAUAUUUUUAACCGCAUUGUUCAAAAGUUAAAGACGGUCUUGCUGUUACUUAUAGAUGGAUCCGCGCUGCAUUAGCUAGUUGGUAAGGUAACGGCUUACCAAGGCAACGAUGCAUAGCCGACCUGAGAGGGUGAUCGGCCACACUGGAACUGAGACACGGUCCAGACUCCUACGGGAGGCAGCAGUAGGGAAUCUUCCGCAAUGGGCGAAAGCCUGACGGAGCAACGCCGCGUGAGUGAUGAAGGUCUUCGGAUCGUAAAACUCUGUUAUUAGGGAAGAACAUAUGUGUAAGUAACUGUGCACAUCUUGACGGUACCUAAUCAGAAAGCCACGGCUAACUACGUG